rnacentral:rRNA from 1 species
AGAGUUUGAUCAUGGCUCAGAUUGAACGCUGGCGGCAGGCCUAACACAUGCAAGUCGAGCGGUAACACAGAGAGCUUGCUCUCGGGUGACGAGCGGCGGACGGGUGAGUAAUGUCUGGGAAACUGCCUGAUGGAGGGGGAUAACUACUGGAAACGGUAGCUAAUACCGCAUAAUGUCGCAAGACCAAAGUGGGGGACCUUCGGGCCUCAUGCCAUCAGAUGUGCCCAGAUGGGAUUAGCUAGUAGGUGGGGUAACGGCUCACCUAGGCGACGAUCCCUAGCUGGUCUGAGAGGAUGACCAGCCACACUGGAACUGAGACACGGUCCAGACUCCUACGGGAGGCAGCAGUGGGGAAUAUUGCACAAUGGGCGCAAGCCUGAUGCAGCCAUGCCGCGUGUGUGAAGAAGGCCUUCGGGUUGUAAAGCACUUUCAGCGGGGAGGAAGGCGGUGAGGUUAAUAACCUCAUCGAUUGACGUUACCCGCAGAAGAAGCACCGGCUAACUCCGUGCCAGCAGCCGCGGUAAUACGGAGGGUGCAAGCGUUAAUCGGAAUUACUGGGCGUAAAGCGCACGCAGGCGGUCUGUCAAGUCGGAUGUGAAAUCCCCGGGCUCAACCUGGGAACUGCAUUCGAAACUGGCAGGCUAGAGUCUUGUAGAGGGGGGUAGAAUUCCAGGUGUAGCGGUGAAAUGCGUAGAGAUCUGGAGGAAUACCGGUGGCGAAGGCGGCCCCCUGGACAAAGACUGACGCUCAGGUGCGAAAGCGUGGGGAGCAAACAGGAUUAGAUACCCUGGUAGUCCACGCCGUAAACGAUGUCGAUUUGGAGGUUGUGCCCUUGAGGCGUGGCUUCCGGAGCUAACGCGUUAAAUCGACCGCCUGGGGAGUACGGCCGCAAGGUUAAAACUCAAAUGAAUUGACGGGGGCCCGCACAAGCGGUGGAGCAUGUGGUUUAAUUCGAUGCAACGCGAAGAACCUUACCUGGUCUUGACAUCCACAGAACUUUCCAGAGAUGGAUUGGUGCCUUCGGGAACUGUGAGACAGGUGCUGCAUGGCUGUCGUCAGCUCGUGUUGUGAAAUGUUGGGUUAAGUCCCGCAACGAGCGCAACCCUUAUCCUUUGUUGCCAGCGGUUAGGCCGGGAACUCAAAGGAGACUGCCAGUGAUAAACUGGAGGAAGGUGGGGAUGACGUCAAGUCAUCAUGGCCCUUACGACCAGGGCUACACACGUGCUACAAUGGCAUAUACAAAGAGAAGCGACCUCGCGAGAGCAAGCGGACCUCAUAAAGUAUGUCGUAGUCCGGAUUGGAGUCUGCAACUCGACUCCAUGAAGUCGGAAUCGCUAGUAAUCGUAGAUCAGAAUGCUACGGUGAAUACGUUCCCGGGCCUUGUACACACCGCCCGUCACACCAUGGGAGUGGGUUGCAAAAGAAGUAGGUAGCUUAACCUUCGGGAGGGCGCUUACCACUUUGUGAUUCAUGACUGGGGUGAAGUCGUAACAAGGUAACCGUAGGGGAACCUGCGGUUG